CACCAGAUCAAUAAUCUGAGGCAGAACAUUCAGAACUAAUCUGAUCAAAUCUGUUUUACUCAAAUCUGAUUUUAAAGGAUUUAAGAGGUUAAUGAAUGUUUAAAUUAAUGGAUGUAAAAUUUUAUGGUAUUUUAAUUGAUUGUGAGGUUUUAUAGGUAAAACCCAUUCAAGUGGACCAAAUGACCUGAAACAGAAGAACAGAAUAUUUGUCCAAACGUAAACUGAACUAAAAAUAAACUUUAUUUGCACUUUUUAUCCAGGAAACGCUGUUCAAAGACGUGACUUCAUAUAAUGAGCAUCAAAAACAGAUGGCUGCCUUCGUUAAGUUAAAACAAGGUGGAGAAUGAACCCGUAAAGUAUAACACAGCAUUUUAAAGGAAGGAGUCAGCUGCGAUCCUCUCCGUCACCUGCAGAGGAGCAGCGGGGUGUCGAGGUGGGACGAGGUGUUCCCGACAUUUACACUCAAACUAUCUCAUAACUUUGCCUCAGCUGUCUACAGGAACCUCUCUGAUCCAGAACCCUCUCAGUCUUUAGGGUUAGCUUCAAACACAGAGCGCUUUUCACACCUCUGAUGCUGAAACACUAUCCAUGUUUAAACACUGAGUCCAGAAUGUGACCACGCUGAUGAGGGGUUUCAUGUUGGGGAAGUCCAGCUGAUCCUUUUUCUUACUGAUAUGAAUUAGAUCUUGUGAUUUGAUUUGACAGCCUUUAUUGUCCAUGUGCAGUUAAAACACACCAUGAAAUAAACAAAUAAACAGAAGACAUGAACACAUUUAACAAACAAUAGAUGUUAUCAACAUAGAGUGAAGUUACCAUGAGCCACAGAGCUGUGUGUCCGUCAGUCCUGCAUCGGAGGACACGUGCAACAGAAACCAGGCCUACAGCUCGGAGACUCCUGCUGGAACAGAGAGGAACAAGACGUACAGGACACAGGCUGGUUCUGCUCGACAUUUCUACCUGCUAAAAGAGUUUUUCCUCGCCUUUGUGACCAAAUGCUGCUCAUGACGGGAUCUGUUGGGUCUGACUGUGUGGAGGACUCUACUCUAUAAAACGUGGAUCAGUUUCUGUAGAGCGAUAGUGAAGAAAAAGGUCAGAGAUGAUGCUGUUGUGAUGGACACUGAGGUUUUCUGGAUCUGGUCUUCCUCCUGAUCCUCAUCAGUCUGACUUUUUGUCGGUGCGUUUCUUGCGGCUCUGCAUUGAUGGUGCCAACAGUGGAAUGGCCUCACCAUCAUCAUCAAUCAGUGUGGGUCGGGCAAAACAGCAGAGGUAGACGAAGGUGGAGAUGAAGAUGAGCGGGAUGCUGACCAGGAGGCAGGCGAACAGCGGAGCCUCGCUGAACAGUGGCUGGACGGACAGACAGAGGACGGAGAGGUCAGAGGUCACUGAGACAAACACUCAGGUGUAAACCAGAAACAGGACUGAAAACUUACCGUCAGCGUGACUUUGGCGUCGUAAAUUAAACGUCUGAUGCGCUGGGCGAUGUCGUUUCCUCCCUGUCUCUGAGAAGUGAAACAAAGAUUGAUCAGAAAUAAUUAAACAGAGCUGGUGAAGCUCUCCUUUGUCCUCCGGGUGACUCUGGAGUCCGGACUCACCUGGAUACUGCCAUCCAAAACCCCUUUCAGGAAGUCCAGUAGGUGAUGUUCUGACUGCACAGCGCUAGGUGGCAGGAAGUAGCCAUCAUUGGACAGGUUAACCACAAUGAAGGACGGCACAGUCACCUCCCUGACAAGAACAAACCAAACAGAAACACAUUAACAACUACACCCAUUUGUGACUAGAGACAUUACCGACUAGACCAUUUGUGACUUGUCUCUGUACUGGUUUUAUUAGAUCUUAGUGCUGCAUUUGAUACCAUUGACCAUCAGAUCCUAUUGCAGAGACUGGAAU